ensembl:lncRNA
AUGCCUCAGCUGAGCGUGGGAAAUGUGUGGAGCUGCUGGGAGCGGAGCAGGACUCGAAGCCGAGGAGAAGGGGAUGGAGCAGUGGAGGACAAACAGAUGAUCAGCCGAGAGCUGGAGGAGAGAGCUGGGCAAGAGUGGACACGGAUGAGACUGCACUGGAGAAACUGGCCGAGAUGGAGUCCGUUUCUGGCUCUGAUGUGCUUGGUUCUUCUGGAGGAGUCUCCUCUGCACCCCUCUGUCAGUCUGCCUGAAGCCACGGGUCGACUGCUCCUCGCUGGGCUGCUGUGUGCUGCCUUGGCCCUCUGUGCUCCAGCUUUCCAGUUCCUGCUCCGUUAUGAACAGAAAGUAAAGCAGCAUCUCCCAUGCAAUGGUGAGGUGAUAGUGAGACAAACUGCUGAAAACCAGCAAUCCAGCAUACAUCCACAGCAGGACGCAGGUCAUCUGGAAACGCAGGUCAGUGCUCUAGCGGAUGGUUUAGCGGUGUCCCUCCUGCAUGAGCCCCUGCCGGACCCCAGCGAGCCACACAUACGAGGUCUCCUCAACAGACUAGAGGCAGUGUCUCGGACUCUCCACAGGAAGAGUUGUGAGGAAGGACCUGAGGAGAAGGAGAAAUGUGCUCUUCAAGAUAGAGUGAACAGUAUAAGCUCUUACCUGAGGGACAGGGUGAGCGGUCUGCGCUCUCUGCUGCAGGUUCAGCGUGAGUGUGACGUGAGUGUGUGUGCGGUUCAGAGCGGGUUACACAAGCGCUGGGCUCUGCUGGAGGAGUUACACACACGAGUGACUCUGAGGCCUGACAGCACACAGGAAGCUCUCGACCCUCACGCAGUCCUCACAGACACUGAGAGCCUGUUCAGUGAGCUCAGUCAGUUCAAAAUCAAAGUCCAACAGUGCCGGACACAGCUGGAAGCCAAUAUAAACCUUUUACAGACACUUCGCAGCAGUCAUCAGCGUCUGAAGGAGACUUUCAGUGCCACCAUCGACUCUGUAUGGACCAAAGAGUUACUACAGUCCAACACUGAUCUGUUUUCUGAGAUCCUUGAGGAUUUCAUGUCUUUGGAACAGCAGACGUCGAAUUUUGUGAUCCACUUGAGAGGCCUGAAGGCUUCUGAGGAGGAAAAGACAAAGUUCUGUGUGAAUCAGUCACGACUGUCUCUUCCCGCUGUCCCUGUGUACGUUGCUGCUCCGGAAGCAUCUCAAUUAAAUUCUGACCCGGAAAGUGACCCGGAGUCGCCAGAAGCCUCACAGAAGACCCGCUCCAGAACAUCGGCCUUCCAUAUGCUCUGUGGGUCGAGGAGGAGGAAGUCAUCGCCGUAGUUUUGACAAAAGAUGGAUGUUUUUACAGGACAUUUUUUAAUGCCCGCCUGCUGAGCAGGUGUAACAACAGUUUGUGCACUUUAUUCACAAUUUAUUAACUGGAAUCGCUAUAUAGUGUCUAUACUGUGACUUGUAAUUUUCAACAUGUGAAAUGUGUAAAUAAGAACUCUUGCAUAAUUAAUACAAUAAUAAUAAUAAUGUAUAACAUUACAUAUAGUAUUGAGGGUUUUUUAUUAACAUUAAUAUUAUAUAAUAGAAUAAUAUAAAAAGUUUGAUGUCGGAAGAUUUAAUUGAAAAUACUGUGAAAACAGUGAUAUUGUGAAAUAUUGCUUUUUAAAAUAAUAUUUAAACAAAUCUGCUGUCCUUUUGAUGGCAAAGCUGAAUUUUCAGCGUCAUUACGUCAGGCUUCAGUGUCACGUGAUCCUCCAGAAAUCAUUCUAAUCUGCUGAUAUUGUGUUCAACAAACACUAUCUUUUACUAUCUUAACCACUAUCUUCUGUCUCUCUCUCAAAAUAAAUAAAUAAAUAAAUAAGAAUCUUACCGACCCCAAACUUUACCACAUAGUAUUUGUCGUCAAUAGUCGAUCAGCUCAUAUGAUGAAAUCCUUCUUGUAUUGUGACUGUGCUGUGACUUGUGAUUUUCUGCUCGUAAACUGUGUAAAUAAGAUAUUUUUUGGAAUCUUAAUCAUCUUAAGCGCACAUUAAACGGACAAUUAACUGAAACAAACAGUAAAUGUGGUAACAGCCACAGAAAGGUAUUUGUGUCAUGCCAUGUUUGAGCACAAGAGGGCGCAAUCCAAUAAAAAAUAAACAGCCAACUCCUUCACGAGAGCUCAAGCCCAGCUGCACGCUUACACGACAAGGUCCUCAACACUAAAGAUAUCAGAGCAUAAUAUCAUACAAACCAUUUUACUUGUUGGCCUACUGGCAUGUACAAACAUCACAUUGCCUUUAAAUUAGGAUAGUUUACAUUGAAAAACAAAUUCAACAGCUGUAAGUCCAGUCUUUGACAUGUUUGUACAUGUUAAGUUGUUAAGUAGAAAGAAACAAUUAGGUUGCUGUGGGCAGUAUUAGCCAAUCGAGCACUUACACCUUUAGUAUUCUGGUUUCAACAUAGGCUAUUUUGUUCCCAUACACAUUUAGGGUGAAAUGCAAACUUCUUAGAGGAACAAAAGCCAUUCUUCACGGUCUGUUCUCCAUAUAUCUAUAUUUCAGCCAGAUACAGAUUUUACAGUGUUUUUUCUUCUUCUUAGCAGUCACUCAUAGCAGUGAGGCCAAACUUUUCCACCAAAUCAACUUUAUAGUGGGAAAAAUCUGCUCGGUUGCUGUAAAGCACAGUCUGAAAGUGUAUUUCAUAAAGAGAUGAACGGUCUUAUGAGAGCAAAGGUGCUCCUUCAUUCUCUACUGGCCUUUGUGGAUUUAGUAGGAAUUUUUAUUUGAUCUGAGCGUCUGUAUUUUUUCAACAUUUCAUUUUGGAGUCUGCUUCUCUCGUAUAUACACUGAAUAAAAUUAUUAUUAUUAGAUACGUGGGCUUUGUGAGGAAAACGCAAGUGGUGCUUGCCUGUAUAAAAAGCUUUUGCCUUUUAUUUUAUAAAUAUUAAUAUUAUAUUAAAGUAGGCUUUUUUUUAACCCGUUACUAUGUGGUUGUCAGUGUGUUUGUAUUUGUUUUUUGUCCCUGGAUACAGUAUGGCUUGAGUCCCUCAUAUGGGAUUUCGUUUUUUAUUUUUUGAUCCAGCUGGCAACAACUGAUCACUUUUUUGUCAUUCCUUCAAAAUGCUGCAGGGUU